AUACUUCCCUGGUAGGGGAAAUACCAUGAUCGUGAAAGUGGUUUUUCUACAGUGAGGCUUAUCUAUUGUACUUCGAAUGUGCUGAUCCCUGCGAUUUCCUCAAAUACUGGAAACUCGACUGCAUAAUUUGUGGUAGUGGGAAACUGCGUUCGCGCUUUCCCCUG